ensembl:lincRNA Tbx3os2 T-box 3, opposite strand 2
GCAGUUGUCGGUUGCCGGGUCCUGUUUUAACCUGAAGAAAUCGAGAAGCGCCAGGAGGGUGCCGCUCCCAUUCCAGUCAUCUCCAAAGUGGUCCUGUUUAAAGACAGAGCAAAGGACCUGUAUCCUCAUCAUCUGGAGAGGCAGACACCUACCUACACUUUAUGACCUGCCUUCAAGAAAAUCCUGGGGGCAGGCUCGGAGUGGAAGAAAGGGCCUCAACCUCCAAGUCUUCACCUGGAGAGAAAGAAGUCCUGAUUCCAAAUCAAAGCCCUACUUUGACAAUUGCACCAUGGGAUUCACACCAAAAUUACAAUCCUGACCUCUGAAGAAUGGAAGCAGCCGAUCCCAAACCCCAAGCCGACCCACAAUUUCUCUGUAUCCGGGACUGCAGUUUAAGCCGAGCUAUUUUCUCCUCAAUUUGGGAGCUCGCGCAGCCGGAGGCCAUGAGCCAACUACCACCUUCCCAGGGCGGACUGUGAAGAAGAGUUUUGGUCCCGAAGAGGACCGGCCUUUCCCGUCCCCAUGUCCCCUUAAGCACUCUCCAGUCCCCUCUCUCCCGUUGUUUUCUCCUCCUCCCUAGACAGCUGGGGAGAAGCAGUGCGGGUCCCCACGUGCCUGGGCUAGAAAAGGGGGGCUUGCCCACCCCUCCAAGGUCUAGAGCUGGAUCCUCUUCCAAACACAGGAGGGGAGAGGAGGGGCCCCCCUCAUGACUCUCCAUUCAAGAGGUGACAGGGACGUUGGGCCCGGCUGGCGGGCUCCGGGAUGGGGGUUGGGGGCAAGUCAGCCGCCUGGCGGGCUCCAGCUGGGUCUUUGAGUCAAGGCCCCCAGGGCAAGAAAGUCCUAAGGGCUAACUCUAGAGUACCUUCCCUCGUAACCCCUCUCCAACACAACACACACACACACACACACACACACGCCCCCGAGAGGAUCCUGGAGGGUGGGGAGACUGAAGAAUGACAGGACAGGACAGAGGCUUCACUGAUUGAUUAAUUGAUUGAUUGAUAUAUGUAUAUAUUUGAAAGAUUCAAAGAUAAAUUGAACUUCAAAAAGAUAGGUUGCCUAACUGACUCGGGACUGGUUAGGGAAAUGAGAUGGUAGCUUCCCCGGUGCCUUUUGCCUUGGGUGUUCCAUGUGGACUCCGAAAGCACCUUGCCUCUCUCUCAUGGUCACUGUGGAGCCCACUCCUGGGCCUUACCCACAGCCCUGAAUGUCCAUGGAUAAGGGAGUCUGCUUGGCCUUUUCCUGUGCUAGAUUCCGUGGGUAAAAUAGAUAAGCGGACCUUAUUUAUUUUGUUUUGUGAUCCAUGUCAGAAAAGGGAAAAACGAAUUAAAAGCGAAAACCCCUCCU